rnacentral:rRNA from 1 species
UGGGGAAUAUUGGACAAUGGGGGCAACCCUGAUCCAGCAAUGCCGCGUGAGUGAAGAAGGCCUUCGGGUUGUAAAGCUCUUUCAGGGGGGAAGAUAAUGACGGUACCCCCAUAAGAAGCCCCGGCUAACUUCGUGCCAGCAGCCGCGGUAAUACGAAGGGGGCAAGCGUUGUUCGGAAUGACUGGGCGUAAAGGGCGUGUAGGCGGUUUAGUAAGUUUGGUGUGAAAUGCCUGGGCUUAACCCAGGAAUGGCAUUGAAGACUGCUAGACUAGAGGACGAGAGAGGAAAAUGGAAUUGCGCGUGUAGAGGUGAAAUUCGUAGAUAUGCGCAAGAACACCAGUGGCGAAGGCGAUUUUCUGGCUCGUAACUGACGCUGAGACGCGAAAGCGUGGGGAGCAAA